GUGCCAGCAGCCGCGGUAAUACGUAGGGUGCGAGCGUUAAUCGGAAUUACUGGGCGUAAAGGGUGCGCAGGCGGUUCUGUAAGUCAGAUGUGAAAUCCCCGGGCUUAACCUGGGAACUGCGUUUGAAACUACAGAGCUAGAGUGUGGCAGAGGGGGGUGGAAUUCCAUGUGUAGCAGUGAAAUGCGUAGAGAUAUGGAGGAACAUCGAUGGCGAAGGCAGCCCCCUGGGUUAACACUGACGCUCAUGCACGAAAGCGUGGGGAGCAAACAGGAUUAGAUACCCCGGUAGUCC
rnacentral:rRNA from 1 species